UUCUUAUAUUUCAUUAUAAGUAAAAUCUGCUCCAUGUAAUUAUAAAUAGCCGCAGAAAUUUUACUGUGCUAAGGUAGCAUAAUCAUUAGCCUUUUAAUUAAAGGCUAGAAUGAAAGAUUAAACAUUUAAAUUUCUUUUUUACUUAAAUAUAUUAAACCUAUAUUAAAGAUAAAAAUAUCUUUAUUAAUAAAAAAGACGACAAGACCCUAUCGAACUUAACUUAAGUUAAGCUGGGGCAGCUAAUUAAUUAUUAUUUUAAUUAAUAAUCUUACAUAAACUUAGACCCACUAAAAGUGAUUUAAUGAUCAAGUUACCGUAGGGAUAACAGCGUAAUAUUUUUCUAAAGAUCAUAUUUAAAAAAAAAGAUUACGACCUCGAUGUUGAAUUAAUAACUCUAUAAGGCGCAAUAGCCAUAAAAGAAGGUCUGUUCGACCUUUAAAUUAUUACA
rnacentral:rRNA from 1 species